UUCUUCCCUCUCGUAGUUUUGUGUAGCAACGGCUUUUCUUUGUAGAAAGUAGUGAAAUCAAAGAACCCAGCAGUGCACGGAACGCUGAAAGCAAGAAAUUUCAGGUCAAUUGAUAAUUCUUAAAUUUCUAGAUAGAAAGUUAAGAAUCUUGCUGGCAACAGAGGAAAUCCCAAAUUUUAACUCAAUAUCUAACAGUAAUGAAGAAUUCAUGGGAAGGGAUAUUGUAAAAUUAGGAUUCUUUUUAGGGAAAAUUGGUAAAUCGUGCUAGGGUUUGUGAAUUUCAGAAAUUGAUAAAAUUUCAAAUUUCAUUACUGCUAAAAUGUUGGCAAUAUAAGAGCUUUUGCUUGGCUGAAGUUUUAUAAAAAUACCCUAAAGAUUAUGUUGUACAAGCUACUACCCACUAACUAUAUUAGAAGUGCAAGUUAACAUGUGAGACAGGCGGCUCUUUGUCGACAUCUUUGCUUGCCGAGGACAUUGGUGUUUCAAAAAGAAUUUUACCGUAAUUGGCAGCUACUUUUACUAAUAAUCGCCGCUUCAGCUUUACGUUUAUCCUUUUGCUUUGUAUUUUUUGGUCACUUUUUCUUUGGAUUUUGUAUAACCUUUGCGUGUUUGUCGAAGCCAAAUUUUCAGAGACGAGCUAAGGCCAAAGAAUUUCGAGGCGUCUGUGUGGAAUUAGCUAUUGUCCUGUUGGUGCCCUCUCAUCAGAAGUUAAAACAACUUCAGUAAAAAAAUUCCUGGUACUCAUUUCAAGACUUCUCAAGAUGGAUAUAUCUGCUAUCUCACCUUAGACCAAGUAUUAGAUUGUGGAUAUAUCACUAAGCAGAGCUAUAGAUUUGGUUGGUUUAGCACAAAGCUGAAAUUGGUGCGAAGUGUGGGAAGUCAUUCUACUGGUGUUGUGACAACAUUUUAUAUGUGCUCGGAAGUUGAGGCAGGGCCGUUGAGAAGAGAGAUAAUUUUGACUUCUUGGGAAACAGAACAUAAUAGCUUUAUCUUAUUCAAAGCUAGAGCAAUAUUUUUGUAGACAUGAUUCAAUUGAUAAAACAAAUCAUAUUGUAUCCUCUUUUGUCUAAUAUUUGUUGUUGUAUUUGUUUACAUUUAUGGUUCAGUAUAUUAAGGCCAGACACUUGUGCUAUUUUGCCUCAAUUAUUCCAAAACUUCAAGGUUGCAGACUCUAAAUUGUUGGAGCAUAAGCAAAG